rnacentral:rRNA from 1 species
GUAAUCUCGAGAAGUGUUUUCCGCGCCGGACCGCAUACAAGUCUGUUGGAAUACAGCGUCAUAGUGGUGAGAGCCCCGUAAUUGAUGUGGAUGCCCGGUGCUUUGUGAUACACUUUCGAAGAGUCGAGUUGUUUGGGAAUGCAGCUCAAAUUGGGUGGUAAAUUCCAUCUAAAGCUAAAUAUUGGCGAGAGACCGAUAGCGAACAAGUACCGUGAGGGAAAGAUGAAAAGCACUUUGGAAAGAGAGUUAACAGUACGUGAAAUUGUUGGAAGGGAAACGCUUGAAGUCAGACUUGCUAUUCGGAAUUCAGCCGCAAGGUGUACUUUUCGAUUUGCAGGCCAGCAUCAGUUUUUGGGGGUGGAAAAGGGUGGAGAGAAGGUAGCAACCUUGGUUGUGUUAUAGCUCUUUACUGGAUUCAUCUUUGGGGACUGAGGAUCGCAGUGCGCAAUUUACUUUGCAAACCUUUCGAGGUUUUCGUACUUAGGAUGCUGGUGGAA